rnacentral:tRNA from 3 species
GGGGGUAUAGCUCAGAUGGGAGAGCGAUUGGUUCGCAAUCAAUAGGUCAGGGGUUCGAUCCCCCUUACCUCCACCA